GAUGAACGCUGGCGGCGUGCUUAACACAUGCCAGUCGAACGAGAAAUGUAGACGGAAACCUUCGGGCGGAAGCCUUCAUUUCGAGUGGCGGACGGGUGAGUAACGCGUGGGUAACCUGCCUCAUACAGGGGGAUAACAGUUGGAAACGACUGUUAAUACCGCAUAAGACCACAGCAUCGCAUGAUGCGGGGGUAAAAACUCCGGUGGUAUGAGAUGGACCCGCGUUCGAUUAGCCAGUUGGCGGGGUAACGGCCCACCAAAGCGACGAUCGAUAGCCGGUCUGAGAGGAUGACCGGCCACAUUGGGACUGAGACGCGGCCCAGACUCCUGCGGGAGGCAGCAGUGGGGAAUAUUGCACAAUGGGGGAAACCCUGAUGCAGCGACGCCGCGUGAGUGAAGAAGUACUUCGGUAUGUAAAGCUCUAUCAGCAGGGAAGAAAAUGACGGUACCUGAGGAAGAAGCCCCGGCUAACUACGUG
rnacentral:rRNA from 1 species